rnacentral:lncRNA from 1 species
CUCCAGCUCCACAGGGAACAGGUCGAGCCUCUCCACCCUCUUCUCCAGCUCAUACUCUGCUGAUGCGGCCAUGGGGUCAACGUCUUCAUUGCGGCGGUCGUAGUCCUCAUUGGAGUAAGUGCUGAAGACCUGGAUGGGCGCCGUGCUGAACUGGAUCUUGCGGUUGGGGACGGGCUCCUCUUCCUCGGACAGCCCCGGGAUCUCCAUGCAGCUGGAUUCGGGCUCGUAGAGCCCAUCCGCCUCCUCAUCUUCAUCCAACCCGCUGCCCCCCGAGUCCUCCCCGAGCCCGCUGUAGGCACUUAUGUCCACCAGGUCCGCCUCGGAGAAGUCCUCCUUCUUGGACUCGUCGUACAGCUCGCUCUCCUCCGCCCGCUCACCCUUUCCGCCCUCCUUGGCGUCGGGGGGCUCCUCGCCCCCAUCCAGGCACGGUUCGGGGACCGCCACCCCCUCGGCCCCUUUGGCCACCUCGGCCGCGGCCGUGGGCUCCUUCACCUCCGCCUCCGCCUCCGACUCCCCGCUCUCCUCCACCUCCACGGGUUUGAUCUUGCACACCUCCUGCACCCUGGGCACGCUCCCAUCCUUCUCCGCCGACCUCGGCGCUCUGCCCGCCGCCUUCUCCUCCUCCGCAGGACGCGGCCGCGCGGGCGCAGCGCUGCCUUCCGCGCAGCCCUCGGCUCUGCCACCCUCUCCUCCCUGCAGGAAGACGCGGGACCUUUUGCUCACCAGCUUGGAGUUGAGCGGCCCGGCGCGCCCCGGCGUCUUGUGCAGGUUGUUCCUCAGGUCAGCCUUCUCGAACACGGCGCUCAGCUGGCUGACGGUGGGCGACACGGCCUCGGCGUCCAGCUUGUCCAAGGACUCGGUGCUGCCGUUGAACUUCACCACCACGUCCAGCUUGCGGUCCUGGAAGCCGGCGCGCUCCUUGCGCAGCAGCAGCUUGGCGGUGGCCUCCUUCUCCUGCGGGCUCCUCUCGAAGAUCUUCCGCGUCUCC